ACACCCUUCUGUGGACCUAAUUAAAACCGUUGCCUCGGCGGGCGGCCCCACCGCGGGCCGGACAGACUGGCCGCCUCCGGGAGGUAAACCUCUCCAUGAGGCGCGCCGGCGCCAGCCGCUGGCCCCAAACAAUCAAACUCUAGUAAUCUUACCUUCUGAGUUUUAAUUGUAAAAUAAGUCAAAACUUUCAACAACGGAUCUCUUGGCUCUGGCAUCGAUGAAGAACGCAGCGAAAUGCGAUAAGUAAUGUGAAUUGCAGAAUUCAGUGAAUCAUCGAAUCUUUGAACGCACAUUGCGCCCGCUGGCAUUCCGGCGGGCAUGCCCGUUCGAGCGCAUUUCAACCCCUUCCCAGGAAAUUCUUUUAGGAGGGUUCCCCUGGGGCGUUGGCACCGGGCGCCGCUUUUAUAUAGGCGGCCGGAGCCGAAAUUUAGUGGCGGACACGCGGCGGCCCCUAGCGCAGUAGCACAAUUUCUCUCGCUUAGGAGGCUCGCGGCGCGGACUAUAGCCCUACGCAAACUCAUUUGACAAAUGAAACUUGACCUCGGAUCGGGUAGGACUACCCGCUGAACUUAAGCAUAU
rnacentral:rRNA from 1 species